rnacentral:rRNA from 1 species
UGAGGAAGUAAAAGUCGUAACAAGGUUUCCGUAGGUGAACCUGCGGAAGGAUCAUUAACCAUUGGAUACCUUCGGGUAUAUCCCAUCCGUGUCUACAUACUCUUGUUGCUUUGGCAGGCCGUGGUCACCCACUGUGGGCUAUGCCUGCAUGCGCCUGCCAGAGGACCAAACUCUGAAUAUUAGUGAUGUCUGAGUACUAUAUAAUAGUUAAAACUUUCAACAACGGAUCUCUUGGUUCUGGCAUCGAUGAAGAACGCAGCGAAAUGCGAUAAGUAAUGUGAAUUGCAGAAUUCAGUGAAUCAUCGAAUCUUUGAACGCACAUUGCACCCGGUGGUAUUCCGCCGGGUAUGCCUGUUCGAGCGUCAUUAUAACCACUCAGGCCUGUCUUGGUGUUGGGGUUGCGAAUCUUUUGCAGCCCUCGAGUCUCGUAGCGCCACCUGUGGGUUCUAAGCGUAGUAAUUUCUCCUCGCUAUAGAACCUGCUCGGGGAAAAGUAUAAUUCGUAGCCUGGUUCUAUGUGUCCGCUAUAAAACCCCCAAUUUUUAAAGGUUGACCUCGGAUCAAGUAGGGAUACCCGCUGAACUUAAGCAU